CCGUGCUGAGGUUUUCGCCGCCGCCGAGUACCGCCGUGUCGCGCCUCUGCGCACGCGCGCCGCCGCCGCGGCUGCCGCCUCCGUUACUGCCGUGUCUGCGGGGGGGUGAGGGGCCGGCGCCGCCUCACUCCCGUCUCCGCCUUGGUCUCUGCCUUGAUCUCCGCCCCUGUGUUCCUCCUCCUGACUCAGCCCCGUUUCGUCACCAACUCCGCCUGUCUCCUCAGGUGUCACCCCGCCUCCCGAGGGACCCGGCAGGGCCACUUCCGGGUUCGCCUCACUCCGCGGAACCGCCGAGGUGUUAACAUCCGCUGUCUGCGGGCACACUUCCGCCCCUGCCUCACCCGCGCUUCCCUCAGUCUCGCGCCGGCCAGCCCCGUGCCGGUUGGCCCCGCGCUCGCCUCUAUACGAGCGACAAAAUUAUUUUAUAGAGAGACUGAUUGGAGCCUGCUGCCCUCGCACUGGCUGCAUGUUACAAACACGAAAGAAUUUUUCAACCCGAGAUGGCUUCUGGACUCCUGUCUGUUCUGAUGUGGCUCGCUCAAACUCCUGAAUCGCGGCUUCUGCGGCUUUUUUCUCCGCGGCCAUGCUUUGCAGGCUCUCUUUGAGAGAAUAUGAAAGAGAAGCCGCACGGAAGCAUGCAGAUCCCCAUCCAUGGUGAACUUUCACCCUCUCUCUCCGCCGCUUACCUCCAACCUCCGCGGCUUGCUUUUCCUCGCUUUUCUUCGGCGAGGCGGCACUCCCGCUCCAGCUCCCCGGCCCUGGCUCCGUCCACACCCGUCGUUCGGGCUUCUCGUGAACACCAGGGUGUUUUUCUCUGCUCCAGCGGGCUCCUGCAACCAAACAGCCAUGCGAAAAGCCUUUUUCUCCCGUCGUGAACAGCACGAUUUGGAGAUCCUGGAUUUUUUGCUCCAUUCACCUGAUCCUCGCUCGCAAAAGCGAAUUUAGGAUCCCAGCCACGUUGCUAUAAAGCGAUGUGGACCUGAUUUUCAUCGUGCGACUCAAACUCAGCUCCCCGUUACCCUAAAAAUAAUUUGGGAGCUUUCCGGAGCAUCCUGGGUCCCUGGUUCGGGCGCCACAAAAAGCCAGGGACCUCAUAAAACGGGAAAACUGUACAGGACAGAAUGCACAUACAACCAAUAUGAUUAAUGCAACGUUCUCCGUUUAUUCAAGAGAAGAUGGCAGUUUAUAUACACUUCUACAUAGUUUACAGUUUACAAAGGCACUCUGGCAAGCUAACAUUGCUUAUCUUUGUCUUAAGGUGGCCCAAACCUUACACUGUAAACCUAUACUACUUCACACCCAGACAGCCCAGCGCUCCCCAUCACACCUUAAUACAAUUUCUAACUGCACCACAAGCUCUUAAUUUCUAACUGCGUCAGAGGCUGGAAGGCCUCACAAGGCCCAAAUCUGAGGCCUAGACUGGAGUAGCUCAAAUCUCAUUCCAAACAUAAAUCGUGACCUCUGUCUCUCAGAAAUGCUGCAACAAAUAUACAUUCAUAUUUCAUGUAUUCAAGACUUCUGUAAAUAAAAAGGCUUUGUAAUACCUGUGAUUUUUGCAGUGCUCACUAGGGAAUUAUCCCAUGUACUGCCUGGCUGUCACAAUAAACAUACACUUUCUAACUUUAAA